AGAUCAUUCGGAAUGCGAUCUCAUAUUUCACGAAUAUAUUUAACUAAAACGCGUUUCUAAGAACAUUUUAAGAGAGAAAUAGGCCGUGCAGUUGAUGAAUCGGUCUCAUUUCAGAACGACAAAGGUCAGUUUAAAAGAUUUUCGUCAGAUUUUGAGAAGCAUUAGUUAUGCUUUUCCCUUGUCAUUUCUGGGUUAGCACUGCACCAAUCAGAUUGGUCAUUGAGUCUGAUUGCCCGCCUUCUGAUUCAACAUGUAAAAUCGGGCCAAAUGAAGGCCGACGGCUCCUCCGACUGACGACGGCAAGGAACACACCGAACAGACUCGAGUCACUGACCUCGCCAGACUGUCCGACGACCGGUAAUCGGGUUGGUGUGCCAGCGCCUUAACACACACUCAUAA